rnacentral:rRNA from 1 species
UACGUAGGGGGCAAGCGUUGUCCGGAAUCAUUGGGCGUAAAGCGCGUGUAGGCGGCCAGGUAAGUCCGUUCUGAAAGCCCGGGGCUCAACCCCGGGAGGCGGAUGGAUACUGCUUGGCUCGAGUCCGGAAGAGGCGAGUGGAAUUCCCCGGUGUAGCGGUGAAAUGCGCAGAUAUCGGGAGGAACACCAAUGGCGAAGGCAGCUCGCUGGGACGGUACUGACGCUGAGACGCGAAAGCGUGGGGAGCAAACAGG